GUCGUAACAAGGUUUCCGUAGGUGAACCUGCGGAAGGAUCAUUUUUGAUGCCUCAACCGAGCAAAACCCGUGCAUAUGUUCUAAAUCUCGGGGAGUUCGCAGACGCCAUUGCAGCUCGAAUACUCCCUGAAAUGUGGGGCCUUGUAUGCCCUUCGGGGCACCGUCCCUACAAAAACAACAAACCCCGGCGCGGAAUGCGUCAAGGAAUAAAAAAAUGUACAGUGCGUCCUGUCGGGCCCGGAAGCGGUGGUCGAUGGGGCCGUGUCACUAUAAUUGAGUCUAUAAUGACUCUCGGCAACGGAUAUCUCGGCUCUUGCAUCGAUGAAGAACGUAGCGAAAUGCGAUACUUGGUGUGAAUUGCAGAAUCCCGUGAACCAUCGAGUCUUUGAACGCAAGUUGCGCCCGAAGCCAUUAGGCCAAGGGCACGCCUGCCUGGGUGUCACCAAUCGCCACUCCCAACUCAGUGCCACUGGCGCAGAAGAGGAGAGAAUGAUGGCUUCCCGUGAGCACUGGCUCGCGGUUGGUUGAAAACGCUAUCCGUGCCGGCGUACAGCUCCGUGACACUUGGUGGUUGAGUUUAUAUCUCGAGGCCAGUCACGGGUGCCGAAGGCGGCUCUGGAAAACGAUGACCCUUUUAGCGGCAUACGCCGCUCAUGAAGCGACCUCAGGUCAGGCGGU
rnacentral:misc_RNA from 1 species